UGGGGAAUAUUGCACAAUGGGCGCAAGCCUGAUGCAGCCAUGCCGCGUGUGUGAAGAAGGCCUUCGGGUUGUAAAGCACUUUCAGCGAGGAGGAAGGUGGUGAGCUUAAUACGCUCAUCAAUUGACGUUACUCGCAGAAGAAGCACCGGCUAACUCCGUGCCAGCAGCCGCGGUAAUACGGAGGGUGCAAGCGUUAAUCGGAAUUACUGGGCGUAAAGCGCACGCAGGCGGUUUGUUAAGUCAGAUGUGAAAUCCCCGGGCUCAACCUGGGAACUGCAUUUGAAACUGGCAAGCUAGAGUCUCGUAGAGGGGGGUAGAAUUCCAGGUGUAGCGGUGAAAUGCGUAGAGAUCUGGAGGAAUACCGGUGGCGAAGGCGGCCCCCCUGGACGAAGACUGACGCUCAGGUGCGAAAGCGUGGGGCAGCAAACAGGAUUAGAUACCCUGGUAGUCCACGCUGUAAACGAUGUCGAUUUGGAGGUUGUGCCCCUUGAGGCGUGGCUUCCGGAGCUAACGCGUUAAAUCGACCGCCUGGGGAGUACGGCCGCAAGGUUAAAACUCAAAUGAAUUGAC
rnacentral:rRNA from 1 species